rnacentral:rRNA from 1 species
GCUUCCAGGAAAAGCCUCGUAUUCAUUCAGCAAGGUGACCGUACCGCAAACCGACACAGGUAGGCAGGAAGAGUAUUCCAAGGCGCUUGAGAGAACUCUGGUUAAGGAACUCGGCAAAAUAGCACCGUAACUUCGGGAGAAGGUGUGCCCCCAUCAGGUGAAACGAUUCGCACGUCGAGCCGAAGGGGGUUGCAGUGAAAUGGGGGGAGCGACUGUUUACUAAAAACACAGGACUCUGCGAAGUCGUAAGACGAUGUAUAGGGUCUGACGCCUGCCCGGUGCUGGAAGGUUAAGGGGACGUGUUAGUCUUAGGGCGAAGCACUGAACCGAAGCCCCAGUAAACGGCGGCCGUAACUAUAACGGUCCUAAGGUAGCGAAAUUCCUUGUCGGGUAAGUUCCGACCUGCACGAAUGGCGUAACGAUUUCCCCACUGUCUCAACCAGAGACUCAGCGAAACUGUAGUACCGGUGAAGAUGCCGGUUACCCGCAACAAGACAGAAAGACCCCGUGCACCUUUACUACAGCUUGGCAUUGUAGUUUGGGCUAUCAUGUGUAGGAUAGGUGGGAGACUUUGAAGCGGUCACGCCAGUGGUCGUGGAGUCAAUCUUGAAAUACCACCCUUGCUAUCUUAGACUACUAACCCAGAUCCGUAAUCCGGAUCGGGGACAGUGUCUGGUGGGUAGUUUGGCUGGGGCGGUCGCCUCCUAAAGUGUAACGGAGGCGCGCGAAGGUUCCCUCAGGUUGAUUGGAAACCAACCGAAGAGUGUAAAGGCAUAAGGGAGCUUGACUGCGAGACUGACAAGUCGAGCAGGUACGAAAGUAGGUCUUAGUGAUCCGGCGGUCCCGUAUGGAAGGGCCGUCGCUCAACGGAUAAAAGGUACGCCGGGGAUAACAGGCUUAUCUCCCCCAAGAGUCCAUAUCGACGGGGAGGUUUGGCACCUCGAUGUCGGCUCAUCGCAUCCUGGGGCUGGAGCAGGUCCCAAGGGUUUGGCUGUUCGCCAAUUAAAGCGGUACGUGAGCUGGGUUUAAAACGUCGUGAGACAGUUUGGUCCUUAUCUGUUGCGGGCGUAGGAUAUUUGAGGAGAGCUGUUCCUAGUACGAGAGGACCGGAAUGGACGAACCGAUGGUGUUCCAGUUGUCGCGCCAGCGGCAUGGCUGGGUAGCUAUGUUCGGCAGGGAUAACCGCUGAAAGCAUCUAAGCGGGAAGCCCACUCCAAGAUUAGAUAUCCCGUGGGGUAAUACCCACCUCAAGGCUCGUUGUAGACUACAACGUUGAUAGGUCAGGUGUGGAAGUGUAGCAAUACAUGAAGCUUACUGAUACUAAUUGGCCGUGCGGCUUAACCAU